AAAUUGAAGAGUUUGAUCAUGGCUCAGAUUGAACGCUGGCGGCAGGCCUAACACAUGCAAGUCGAGCGGUAGCACAGAGAGCUUGCUCUCGGGUGACGAGCGGCGGACGGGUGAGUAAUGUCUGGGAAACUGCCUGAUGGAGGGGGAUAACUACUGGAAACGGUAGCUAAUACCGCAUAACGUCGCAAGACCAAAGUGGGGGACCUUCGGGCCUCAUGCCAUCAGAUGUGCCCAGAUGGGAUUAGCUAGUAGGUGGGGUAACGGCUCACCUAGGCGACGAUCCCUAGCUGGUCUGAGAGGAUGACCAGCCACACUGGAACUGAGACACGGUCCAGACUCCUACGGGAGGCAGCAGUGGGGAAUAUUGCACAAUGGGCGCAAGCCUGAUGCAGCCAUGCCGCGUGUGUGAAGAAGGCCUUCGGGUUGUAAAGCACUUUCAGCGGGGAGGAAGGCGGUGAGGUUAAUAACCUCAUCGAUUGACGUUACCCGCAGAAGAAGCACCGGCUAACUCCGUGCCAGCAGCCGCGGUAAUACGGAGGGUGCAAGCGUUAAUCGGAAUUACUGGGCGUAAAGCGCACGCAGGCGGUCUGUCAAGUCGGAUGUGAAAUCCCCGGGCUCAACCUGGGAACUGCAUUCGAAACUGGCAGGCUAGAGUCUUGUAGAGGGGGGUAGAAUUCCAGGUGUAGCGGUGAAAUGCGUAGAGAUCUGGAGGAAUACCGGUGGCGAAGGCGGCCCCCUGGACAAAGACUGACGCUCAGGUGCGAAAGCGUGGGGAGCAAACAGGAUUAGAUACCCUGGUAGUCCACGCCGUAAACGAUGUCGAUUUGGAGGUUGUGCCCUUGAGGCGUAGCUUCCGGAGCUAACGCGUUAAAUCGACCGCCUGGGGAGUACGGCCGCAAGGUUAAAACUCAAAUGAAUUGACGGGGGCCCGCACAAGCGGUGGAGCAUGUGGUUUAAUUCGAUGCAACGCGAAGAACCUUACCUGGUCUUGACAUCCACAGAACUUUCCAGAGAUGGAUUGGUGCCUUCGGGAACUGUGAGACAGGUGCUGCAUGGCUGUCGUCAGCUCGUGUUGUGAAAUGUUGGGUUAAGUCCCGCAACGAGCGCAACCCUUAUCCUUUGUUGCCAGCGGUUAGGCCGGGAACUCAAAGGAGACUGCCAGUGAUAAACUGGAGGAAGGUGGGGAUGACGUCAAGUCAUCAUGGCCCUUACGACCAGGGCUACACACGUGCUACAAUGGCAUAUACAAAGAGAAGCGACCUCGCGAGAGCAAGCGGACCUCAUAAAGUAUGUCGUAGUCCGGAUUGGAGUCUGCAACUCGACUCCAUGAAGUCGGAAUCGCUAGUAAUCGUAGAUCAGAAUGCUACGGUGAAUACGUUCCCGGGCCUUGUACACACCGCCCGUCACACCAUGGGAGUGGGUUGCAAAAGAAGUAGGUAGCUUAACCUUCGGGAGGGCGCUUACCACUUUGUGAUUCAUGACUGGGGUGAAGUCGUAACAAGGUAACCGUAGGGGAACCUGCGGUUGGAUCACCUCCUUACCUUAAAGAA
rnacentral:rRNA from 1 species